AUACGUAGGGUGCGAGCGUUGUCCGGAAUUACUGGGCGUAAAGAGCUCGUAGGUGGUUUGUCGCGUCGUCUGCGAAAUUCCGGGGCUUAACUCCGAGCGUGCAGGCGAUACGGGCAUAACUUGAGUACUGUAGGGGAGACUGGAAUUCCUGGUGUAGCGGUGAAAUGCGCAGAUAUCAGGAGGAACACCGGUGGCGAAGGCGGGUCUCUGGGCAGUAACUGACGCUGAGGAGCGAAAGCAUGGGUAGCGAACAGGAUUAGAUACCCUGGUAGUCCAUGCCGUAAACGGUGGGCGCUAGGUGUAGGGGUCUUCCACGACUUCUGUGCCGUAGCUAACGCAUUAAGCGCCUCGCCUGGGGAGUACGGCCGCAAGGCUAAAACUCAAAGGAAUUGGCGGGG
rnacentral:rRNA from 1 species